rnacentral:rRNA from 1 species
UACGGAGGGUGCAAGCGUUGCUCGGAAUUAUUGGGCGUAAAGAGCUCGUAGGCGGUCUGUCGCGUCGGCUGUGAAAACCUGGGGCUCAACUCCGGGCCUGCAGCCGAUACGGGCAGACUAGAAUUCGGUAGGGGAGACUGGAAUUCCUGGUGUAGCGGUGAAAUGCGCAGAUAUCAGGAGGAACACCGGUGGCGAAGGCGGGUCUCUGGGCCGAUAUUGACGCUGAGGAGCGAAAGCGUGGGGAGCGAACAGG